rnacentral:lncRNA from 1 species
AAUGAGGUCAAGGACAUUGGACAUGUGACUGACGGAAACUUCGUAACAUGAAGCAUCUAUAUACAAAGUAUGAAGCAUCCAGGUCUUCCACUUUCUAAAAUAUAAAGCUUUUAAGAAGUGAGCUAACGCCGCCGCCGUAGCCGCCGCCGCCGCCGGAUCACUAUCCCUAUGUCGAGCUUUCUGCAACAAAAGUUGCAGGCUCGACAAAAACGGCAAAAUUUCCUUAAAAUUACCAAUUCAGG